rnacentral:rRNA from 1 species
UGUGAGGGGGACAACCCGGGGAAACCCGGGCUAAUACCGCAUAGGCGCAGCGCCUUUCGGGGUGCAGCGUGAAAGCCGGCCUAUCCAUGGAAGCUGGCGCGCAGGGAGGGGCUCGCGGCGUAUCAGCUUGUUGGUGAGGUAACGGCUCACCAAGGCGACGACGCGUAGCGGGUCUGAGAGGACGACCCGCCACAUUGGAACUGAGACACGGUCCAGACUCCUACGGGAGGUAGCAGUGGGGAAUCUUGGGCAAUGGCCGCAAGGCUGACCCAGCGACGCCGCGUGCGGGAUGACGCUUUUCGGAGUGUAAACCGCUGUCAGGGGGGACGAAGACCUUCGGGGUGAACAGCCUCGAGGGCUGACGGUACCUCCAGAGGAAGCACCGGCUAACUCCGUGCCAGCAGCCGCGGUAAGACGGAGGGUGCGAGCGUUGUUCGGAAUUACUGGGCGUAAAGCGCGCGCAGGUGGGUGCGCAAGUCGGAGGUGAAAGCGCAGGGCUCAACCCUGCGACGCCCUCCGAGACUGCGUGUCUGGGGACCGGUAGAGGCGAGUGGAAUUCCCGGUGUAGCGGUGGAAUGCGUACAUAUCGGGAAGAACACCAGAGGCGAAGGCGGCUCGCUGGGCCGGAUCCGACACUGAGGCGCGAAAGCGUGGGGAGCA